rnacentral:sRNA from 1 species
AGCGGGUGUCCUGGAGCCCCAGACAGCACAGGAGGCUCCAGGAAGGUGCCGAGGGGCCCUCUGGUGGGUGCCCCCCACCAAGAGGGAAGGGUUGGUCUGCCCGAGCCCAUCUGGCACCACCCAGCCCUCUGCCGCCCUGUCCCAGACCUUCCUGCCCUGUCCUGCGGAGCUCGUGUACCAGGAGGUGAUCCUGCAGCCCGAGAGGAUGGUGCUGUGGAACAAGACAGUGACUGCCUGCCAGAUCCUGCAGCGAGUGGAAGACAACACCCUCAUCUCCUAUGACGUGUCUGCAGGGGCUGCGGGCGGCGUGGUCUCCCCAAGGGACUUCGUGAAUGUCCGGCGCAUUGAGCGGCGCAGGGACCGAUACUUGUCAUCAGGGAUCGCCACCUCACACAGUGCCAAGCCCCCGACGCACAAAUAUGUCCGGUGAGCCUCACUUUGCCUGGGGUCACCCCUGCCAGCCCCUCCCCUGGGAGCAUUGAGCAGUGCAGGGUACAGCAUGUACAGCUGGGCACUUCCCCUGCUGAGGCUGCGUUCCUGUUCCCUGUCCCGCUGGGCUCUGCUCCUCCCGGCUACUAAUCCUGCUAAUCUUGCUGCUCUGUCUGUGGAGAUGGGGGGUGGUGGACAGCUGGAACCAAGCCACCAAGCCUGGACGGGAUGUG